UCCGGUUUGGCACCGGCAGUCCUCCCAGAGUCCUCGGCAUGACCCGGUAGCAACUGGGAGCGGGGGUUGCGCCCGUUGCGGGACUUAACCCAACAUCUCACGACACGAGCUGACGACAGCCAUGCAGCACCUGUCUCCAGGUUCCUUGCGGCACCCCUGAAUCUCUUCAGGGUUCCUGGGAUGUCAAGGCCAGGUAAGGUUCUUCGCGUUGCAUCGAAUUAAACCACAUGCUCCACCGCUUGUGCGGGUCCCCGUCAAUUCCCUUGAGUUUCAACCUUGCGGCCGUACUCCCCAGGCGGAGUGCUUAAUGCGUUAGCUGCAGCACUAAAGGGCGGAAACCCUCUAACACUUAGCACUCAUCGUUUACGGCGUGGACUAC
rnacentral:misc_RNA from 1 species